rnacentral:lncRNA from 1 species
UUUUUUAUAUGAUAAAGAAUGACAUAUUGAACCACAUUGUCCAGAAAAUUAAAAAGUUAACCAAUUAGAAAGAUAGAAGAGCAAACAUUAGAUGUAGAAGAAAUAUUUAUUACGUAUGAAGUAUCAUAUAAUGAUAAUAUAUGUAUUCUUAGUGAACAUAGUGAAUAUAGUAGCUAUACAGAAACCAGUAACAGCUUGGGAAGUAUAAUCAGAUUUGGAAAUAAAUGUUUUAGAAACCUAUACAUCAUUUUUUUUUUCCGUAAAAUUUAUACAAUCUGUAAUAAAAAUUUUGAACUAGGAUAUGUAGAAACAAAUAUAGACAAAUUCUUUUAUAAUAAAUGUAAAGAUAAACAAUAGGAAGUUAAUAAAUGUAUUAUACACGAUAGUUUAGUGCCAAAAGAAAAUAGAAAAGAAUUAAGAAUUCCAGUUAAUAUUAAACAAUUAAAUGGAGAAUUAAUAAAAAUAACAGAAUGUUUAAACAAUGAACCGAUUAAAAUAAAUAGAGAAACACAUAUUUCCCUAAACAUUUAUUUCUAAUCAAAAAGUAAAUUUAUUCUAACACUAAAUUUUAUAUUAGGAAAUAAGGGUAGUAUGUGGAGCAAAUUUCUUUAAAAAAUUUAACAUUUUUAUAACCCAAAUUUGCGACACACAUUUUGCCGUAUGAAAAAAAAAGUCAAUAAUGCUUGAGAAAGAAAUAGAUAUAGCAUAUUUUGGUUCAUUAUUAGAGGAAGACAAUAUGUUAGAAAAAGAUAGCAAGCUAGAGAGCAAAGAAUUUACAGCCAUAGUAAGUUGGGAAGUAAUGGCACAAAAGUGGUGAAAUAGAAAUUUUAAAUGAUAGUGAGAUAGACACGUAUUUGCAAGAUGUCAUGAAUGUAGAAAAAGAGAUAGAAUGUAUGAAGUGUGAUAGAUGGCCAAAGGAUACUAAGAAGGAAACUGAAGAGUUAGAACGUUUGGAAAUGAUAGGUACCAACCCAAAUAGAAAAAAUAGUAAUGAAUUAUAUAAGUUAGAAAUAAUUAAUCCGAAUAUAUUAACAAAAAUAUAAGACUUAGCAUAUAGUUUAUAAGAUAGAAAUGAAUUUAAAAUGCACAUGAGUUAUUAGAAUUAAAGGUAAUAAGAAGUAGUACUAGUAGACAUAGAUGUCCCAUAUUUAUAGUAAAUAAUCAUAGUAAAAAAA